UUUCGGAGGCCAGCAGUAGGGAAUCUUCCGCAAUGGACGAAAGUCUGACGGAGCAACGCCGCGUGAGUGAUGAAGGCUUUCGGGUCGUAAAACUCUGUUGUUAGGGAAGAACAAGUGCUAGUUGAAUAAGCUGGCACCUUGACGGUACCUAACCAGAAAGCCACGGCUAACUACGUGCCAGCAGCCGCGGUAAUACGUAGGUGGCAAGCGUUAUCCGGAAUUAUUGGGCGUAAAGCGCGCGCAGGUGGUUUCUUAAGUCUGAUGUGAAAGCCCACGGCUCAACCGUGGAGGGUCAUUGGAAACUGGGAGACUUGAGUGCAGAAGAGGAAAGUGGAAUUCCAUGUGUAGCGGUGAAAUGCGUAGAGAUAUGGAGGAACACCAGUGGCGAAGGCGACUUUCUGGUCUGUAACUGACACUGAGGCGCGAAAGCGUGGGGAGCAAACAGGAUUAGAUACCCUGGUAGUCCACGCCGUAAACGAUGAGUGCCUAAGUGUUUAC
rnacentral:rRNA from 1 species